GCAUUGCCUACAUUUUUCCUGGCCACUAGUUCAUAUUGUAGGUUGAUGGUAAUCUGCCUUUUUAGGGCUUGUUUCGUCGGUGCGGAGUCUGUCUUCCAUUCUCUGGCUAUUAGCGUUAGUGCCGCUAUUAUGGUGUGGAAAACUAAGAUUGCCUCACUUCCCCGGAAUCUGGACAUAUGCAUGAACAAUAAGCCUGUUUCUGGGGCGAGUGUAGUACUGACAUCUAUCGUCUCAUUUAGCAUGUUUUCUACC